GCAGGUAGCAGAGGGCUGGCACAGAGACACCGAUGCUUUCUGAGUUUUAAUAUGAUACCCAAAUGAAUGAGUAGGGACCUGCAGCUUGACUGUUUUCUUCAAUCAGAAUGGCUGCCUUCAGCAAGCAAAUUGCUCCAUUCAAAUCAUCAGGCGUGUCCCACUGUGCUCAGCUUGGAGUGGCUUUUAAGUAAGUAUUGGUCUUAGAACUCACUCUGCAAUGGCAUCUUAUAAGAACCCUGCUUGUAUGUGAAAACCCUCCCACAUGUGGAAGAAGCUA
rnacentral:lncRNA from 1 species